GGCAGCAGUCGAGAAAACUUCACAAUGUGCGAAAGCACGAUGAGGGAAUCCCAAGUGCUUGCACGUAAGUGUAAGCUGUUUCUCUGUCUAAAACGCAGAGAGAGUAAGGGCUGGGUAAGACGGGUGCCAGCCGCCGCGGUAAUACCUGCAGCUCGAGUGGUGACCGCUAUUAUUGGGCCUAAAACGUCCGUAGCCGGUUUAAUAAAUGCCUGGGUAAAUCGGACCGCUUAACGGUUCGAAUUCCGGGUAGACUGUUAAACUUGAGACCGGGAGAAGUUAGAGGUACUCCUGGGGUAGAGGUGAAAUUCUGUAAUCCUAGGGGGACCACCAGUGGCGAAGGCGUCUAACUAGAACGGGUCUGACGGUGAGGGACGAAGCCCUGGGGCGCAAAAC
rnacentral:rRNA from 1 species